rnacentral:rRNA from 1 species
GACGAACGCUGGCGGCGUGCCUAACACAUGCAAGUCGAACGAAGCAUAGCAAUAUGCUUAGUGGCGGACGGGUGAGUAACGCGUGAACAAUCUGCCCUGUACAAAGGAAUAGCCUCGGGAAACCGGGAUUAAAACCGUAUGACACUUUAGUAUCGCAUGAUAAGAAAGUCAAAUCGAAUAGAGGUAUGGGAUGAGUUCGCGUCUGAUUAGCUGGUUGGCGGGGUAACGGCCCACCAAGGCGACGAUCAGUAGCCGGCCUGAGAGGGUGAACGGCCACACUGGAACUGAGACACGGUCCAGACUCCUACGGGAGGCAGCAGUGGGGAAUAUUGCACAAUGGAGGGAACUCUGAUGCAGCGACGCCGCGUGAGUGAAGAAGGUCUUCGGAUCGUAAACUCUGUCCUUGGUGAAGAAAGGACGGUAGCCAAGGAGGAAGCCCCGGCUAACUACGUG